rnacentral:rRNA from 1 species
UGAGGAGCAUGACCUUCGGCGGGGGAUAGCCGGCCCAGCGGCCGGGUAAUACCGCGUACGACCGCAUGGGGACAUCCCUGAGUGGUGAAAGCAGCAAUGCGCCGAAAGAGUGCCUCGCGGCCUAUCAGCUAGUUGGUGAGGUAACGGCUCACCAAGGCAACGAUGCGUAGCCGACCUGAGAGGGUGAUCGGCCACAUUGGAACUGAGACACGGUCCAGAUCCUACGGGG